UGCCGAGUCGCCAAAGUGGUAAGGCACCUGACUCUGGAUCAGGCAUGUGUGGGUUCGAGUCCUACCUCGGCAGCCA
rnacentral:tRNA from 1 species